rnacentral:rRNA from 1 species
GACGAACCGGCCGAACGUUAUUCGGAAUCAUUGGGCUUAAAGGGUGCGUAGGCGGUGCGGUAAGUUGGGUGUGAAAUCCCUCGGCUCAACCGAGGAACUGCGCUUAAUACUGCCGUGCUUGAGGAAGACAGAGGCGAGCGGAACUGAUGGUGGAGCGGUGAAAUGCGUUGAUAUCAUCAGGAACACCAGUGGCGAAAGCGGCUCGCUGGGUCUUUUCUGACGCUGAGGCACGAAAGCUAGGGUAGCGAACAGG